rnacentral:misc_RNA from 1 species
GAAAUGCGAUAAGUAAUGUGAAUUGCAGAAUUCAGUGAAUCAUCGAAUCUUUGAACGCACCUUGCGCUCCUUGGUAUUCCUUGGAGCAUGCCUGUUUGAGUAUCAUGAAAUCUUCAAAGUAAAUCUUUUGUUAACUCAAUUGGUUUCUACUUUGGUAUUGGAGGUCUUUGCAGCUUCACACCUGCUCCUCUUUGUUCAUUAGCUGGAUCUCAGUGUUAUGCUUGGUUCCACUCGGCGUGAUAAGUUAUCUAUCGCUGAGGACACUGUAAAAGGUGGCCAAGGUAAAUGCAGAUGAACCGCUUCUAAUAGUCCAUUGACUUGGACAAUACUUUUAUGAUCUGAUCUCAAAUCAGGUUGGACUACCCGCUGAACUUAAGC